UUUACUGAAUGACUUCAUGGGAGUUUAUGGUGGAAGUGCAUUAGAGCUCCUUGUUGUGUUAGAGAGAUACAGCUGCAUGAGAUGCGGUAAGUACCGUGUAGUGUAUAUUGCUUUAUGUUGUUAUGUUUUUAUCAGGUCAUCUAAUGUUAUAUAAUCAAGAGCUGCAGUAAGAGGAAUCUUUGGUAUUUAUUUGAUUUCACUGGACUUGUUUAGAAAAUACAGUGUAACUAUACAACAAAUUUUAUUGGGGAAUUUAAAAAGUUUUUUAUAAAGGAAUAAAAAUAUAAUUGCAAUAAAAUAUAAUUUCCCUUAAAAAUCAGUGUAGCAAAAUAUUUGUAUGUAUUUUGUUAACCAAGAGGUUGUUACCAGUCCACAAUAUCCCUCUAUAUUUAGUACGUAAUUCAGUACUGUUAAAUUAAUGUACUGUUCAUUUUAUUUUUCAGAAAGUACUUUGCUUUAGUUAAGCUAGUUUACUAGCUUAAUGAUUAGUAUCUACAGAAAUGAUGUUCUGGAAUCCACCAAGAGGCAGAGCUCUGAGCAAGGCCUGGAAAGCAGAAUGCUGGUUGAGAAAUGUGAGAAAGAACUGUCCGUGCCGAACUGCCACAGUCACUGUCACGCUGAAGAGGGAGGCUGGGUGGCCUCGUCCUGGGCCUGUGCUUUGCUUCUUUGACCUGUGCCCGUUAUUUUGCAUAAGUACACACAGCGUAAUGGGCAGCAAAGAGGCCGUAAAGUGAUGGCGCUCACAUCUGGAACGCCUUCAUUUCAGAGGUAAGGGUUCAGGUUCACUAGUGGGUGCUGCUUCUCUUUUAAUUUCCUCUUCUUGGGUGAUCCUGAGGUCGGUCCCGUAAGGGAGCUGUCCGCUGUUAGCUAGGACGC
rnacentral:lncRNA from 1 species